rnacentral:rRNA from 1 species
UACGGAAGGUCCGGGCGUUAUCCGGAUUUAUUGGGUUUAAAGGGAGCGUAGGCUGCCGGUUAAGUGUGUUGUGAAAUGCAGGCGCUCAACGUCUGCCUUGCAGCGCAUACUGUCCGGCUUGAGUACGCACAACGUUGGCGGAAUUCGUCGUGUAGCGGUGAAAUGCUUAGAUAUGACGAAGAACUCCGAUUGCGAAGGCAGCUGACGGGAGCGUUACUGACGCUGAAGCUCGAAAGUGCGGGUAUCGAACAGGAUUAGAUACCCUGGUAGUCCGCACGGUAAACGAUGGAUGCCCGCUGUUUGUCCUCAAGGAUAAGCGGCCAAGCGAAAGCAUUAAGCAUCCCACCUGGGGAGUACGCCGGCAACGGUGAA